AAUCAAUCAUUCAUACCAAAAAAAUUAAACAAAUCUAAAAAAUACUAAAAAAAAUCACUUUAUUAUUUAUUCUGCUAGGUUUUUCACCCAACCUUCAUAUCUCUUCUCGGUGCUUGUAUCUCCUUCUCGUCUUUUCAAUAGCCUCUUCUCCUGAUAAAGAAGACAAAGAAGCUUCCUUCACGGCGACCUGUCAAGGUCACCGCGUCUUUCGCGCGCGCCUCACCCAACCGCGGAGAACAUGCGUCAGAGACCGUUACCGUUUUCCUCGUUCUAGAGCGCGUUGCCGUCUUCCUCGUUCCAGAGAGCGUCGCCGUAAGAAGCAAACGCAGCCUAAUGGUGGGUGAAAGUGGAGUGACAAUAAAGCUUCAGAUGGAAAAUUUUAUAUACUAUUGCUUAAAAGUAUCAUGUUGAAUUAAAAUCAAUUUGUGAGUAAUGACUAUUAAAGUUUGUUCUCGUGAGUAAUCCAAUUUUAUACUCUUCCGGAUUAUAAAAAUGAUGUAAUCUUAUGACAUAGUAUAUUAUUACUAACAGCUGAACUCCUUUUGUCAGCGUUGCAGCAGACACAAAAAAGUUAAGUAUGAUUAUGCUACACA